UACUGAAGGGGGCAUCUCCAAUGAGCCUCAAAAUUUCUCUGAGAUCAAUCAGACAAGGAAGGCUCCAAGGUGUUGGUCAAUGCCUUGUCCGAGAGUAUAGAAUGAUUUGUCAUGUCAUGCGAGGAAAAGUCAGCAAGGAUUUCUUUGAGGGCUGUAGAGCUAUACUGUUGGAUAAAGAUAAGAAACCAAAG